UUCAGCCAGGAGACCAUAGAAGA
rnacentral:piRNA from 1 species